rnacentral:rRNA from 1 species
UACGUAGGGUGCGAGCGUUGCCCGGAUUUAUUGGGCGUAAAGGGUUAGUAGGUGGCCAACUAAGUCAGACGUGAAAUCCCUCAGCUUAACUGGGGAACUGCGUCUGAGACUGAUUGGCUCGAGGACAGGAGAGGAACGCGGAAUUCCAGGUGUAGCGGUGAAAUGCGUAGAUAUCUGGAGGAACACCGGUGGCGAAGGCGGCGUUCUGGACUGUUUCUGACACUGAAUAACGAAAGCCAGGGGAGCAAACGGG